rnacentral:rRNA from 1 species
GACGUAGGGGGCCAGCGUUGCUCGGAAUUACUGGGCGUAAAGGGUUCGUAGGCGGUGCGGCAAGUCGGGAGUGAAAUCUCUGGGCUUAACUCAGGGGCUGCUUCCGAAACUGCCGUGCUUGAGUGCGGGAGAGGCGAGUGGAAUUGCAGGUGUAGCGGUGAAAUGCGUAGAUAUCUGCAGGAACACCGGUGGCGAAGGCGGGUCUCUGGGCAGUAACUGACGCUGAGGAGCGAAAGCGUGGGGAGCGAACAGG